ACACGGUAGUCGUCAGAUCUUGUCUUGAGAUGUUGAUCAAGUUUCGAAACGAGCGCACGCCUAAACCCUUGUUGCCAGCGCGUCAUGGCGGGAAAUCACGGGGGACCGUCGGGGAUAACCCGGAGGAAGGUGGGGAUGACGUUUGAUGAUCCAUUAUCAUUUGUUCUGGGCUUUAUGCCGGUUCAAUGGCCGGUUUAAUGGGAUGGGACCAGGUGACUAGGUGCGGAUGCAUGAAAACAGGCCUCAGUUCGUAUGGGAGCGUGCAUUCACAGCUUCGUGAAGGUGGAGUCGUUGGUAAUCGCGGAUCAGCAACGCCGCGGUGAAUGUGUUCCCGGGCCUGUACACACCUGAAUCAAGUCGUGAAAAAUCCAGCACCCGAAGCCG
rnacentral:rRNA from 1 species